UCCGAAUCAAAGGCUCAGCUCUUCUAAAGCGUGAUUUCUGAUGUGGGCUUCAGUGGACUGACUGCGAAGUUCCUGAGACAAUGAGAGGGAACGCUGGCUGUCUCUCUCUCUUUAUCUUCUUGCUGUGAAGCGCUAAUUCUCCUUGAGGUGAUCCUAGUUUGUGUGAAGUUGACAAAAUUAUGCUACAACAAGAUGAGGAUGGGAGGAGAUCCUUGGAAGCUCAAGGGCAGAUAACCGGUGAACUGGUGUGCACAGCCCCUUAGCAACAACAGGCAAACAAGGAGGAGUGUGGAAUGGUAGUCAGUGCUUAAGAAACAAAGUUUCCGUUUGGUUCUAGAGAUGAUGGUGCUGAUGGCUGUAAGGCGUCUUGAAUGUGCUGAAUGCCACCAAAUUGCACAAUGGAAACAGUUAAGAUGGUGAAUGUUGUGUGCAUUUUCGUAUAGCAGGAUACUGUAUUUUUUCCAGUAUGUUUUAUUCUUGUGCAAUCAGCUUUGUAUUUUUUUCCCCUUCCAGAU